rnacentral:rRNA from 1 species
GACGAACGCUGGCGGCAGGCUUAACACAUGCAAGUCGAGCGCGUAGCAAUACGAGCGGCAGACGGGGGAGUAACGCGUGGGAACGUGCCUUUUGGUUCGGAACAACUGAGGGAAACUUCAGCUAAUACCGGAUAAGCCCCGAGGGGGAAAGAUUUAUCGCCAAAAGAUCGGCCCGCGUCAGAUUAGGUAGUUGGGGGGGUAAUGGCCUACCAAGCCGACGAUCUGGAGGUGGUCUGAGAGGAUGAUCACCCACACUGGGACUGAGACACGGCCCAGACUCCUACGGGAGGCAGCAGUGGGGAAUAUUGGACAAUGGGCGCAAGCCUGAUCCAGCCAUGCCGCGUGGAUGAAGAAGGCCCUAGGGUUGUAAAGUCCUUUCGACGGAGACGAUAAUGACGGUAUCCGUAGAAGAAGCCCCGGCUAAUUUCGUGCCAGCCGCCGCAGUAA